rnacentral:lncRNA from 1 species
CAGCAUUUCAUCAAAACUCUGAGCUCCCUCAAUAAUCAUUAGGUUGAAGAUUUUAAAUGUCUGCAUCAGCACUCCACUUUGAGCUAUUCCAGGAGAGAGCCAUGAGAGGGAGCAGGUACAAAAUGAGUAUCAUCACCAAGAAUGAAAAACUGCACUGCACAGGAAGACCUGCACCCAGUUAGACUCCAGGAGACCUCAGAAGAAACUGUGCCAAAGAUGAAAAACACCAUUUUUCAUGGAUUGUAAACCACCUUGUCACUUUCUUUAUAAUUAAGUCUAAACCUAUUCAUUCAAGAGUCACCAGUAUUGAUCAUAUGCCUUCUACCAUAUUUCUACUCUCAGUACCUAGGACAGUGCUUGAUGCACAGGAAAUUUUCAACACUGUUUGUUAAACCAAGCUGUUACAUAGAGCUUUAGUCUUAGCUACAUUUAAAAUGAUAUAGGAUAUGAAAAUGUAACAAGGGUGCUUCUUUUACCUAGCUUUUAUGUAUUUAUGGAUCCAUCCAUUAACUUGGCAAAGAGCUUUAAAAAUAGAAAGUAUAACCCAGAG